CGCGGCCUAUCAGCUUGUUGGUGGGGUAACGGCUCACCAAGGCAUCGACGGGUAGCUGGUCUGAGAGGACGAUCAGCCACACUGGGACUGAGACACGGCCCAGACUCCUGCGGGAGGCAGCAGUGGGGAAUCUUGCGCAAUGGGCGAAAGCCUGACGCAGCAACGCCGCGUGGGGGAUGAAGGCUCUCGGGUUGUAAACCCCUUUCAUCAGGGACGAAAUUGACGGUACCUGAAGAAGAAGCCCCGGCCAACUACGUGCCAGCAGCCGCGGUGACACGUAGGGGGCGAGCGUUGUCCGGAAUUAUUGGGCGUAAAGAGCUCGUAGGCGGUUUAGUAAGUCAGAUGUGAAAGGUUGGGGCUCAACCCUAAGACUGCAUCCGAUACUGCUAUGACUAGAGUCCGGUAGAGGAGUGUGGAAUUCCUGGUGUAGCGGUGAAAUGCGCAGAUAUCAGGAGGAACACCGACGGCGAAGGCAGCACUCUGGGCCGGUACUGACGCUCAGGAGCGAAAGCGUGGGUAGCAAACAGGAUUAGAUACCCUGGUAGUCCACGCCGUAAACGGUGGGCACUAGGUGUGGGACCUUAUCAACGGGUUCUGUGCCGUAGCUAACGCAUUAAGUGCCCCGCCUGGGGAGUACGG
rnacentral:rRNA from 1 species